AUAGAAAUUACCUAGGGGUCUUAUUAAAUGCACAUCUGAUUCAGUAAGUCUGGGUGAGAUCUGAGAUUCUGCAUGUCUAGGAAGCUCCCAGGAUAUGCCAAU
rnacentral:pre_miRNA from 1 species